rnacentral:rRNA from 1 species
AGAGUUUGAUCCUGGCUCAGAACGAACGCUGGCGGCAUGCCUAACACAUGCAAGUCGAACGCUUUGAUGGUUUCGGCCGUCAACGAGUGGCGCACGGGUGAGUAGCGCGUGGGAACCUGCCCUGUUGUGGGGGAUAACCGCGGGAAACUGCGGCUAAUACCGCAUACGCCCCGGCGAAGGCUGGGGGAAAGAUUUAUCGC